UGUAGUCAUAUGCUUGUCUCAAAGAUUAAGCCAUGCAUGUCUAAGUAUAAGCAACUUUGUACUGUGAAACUGCGAAUGGCUCAUUAAAUCAGUUAUAGUUUAUUUGAUGGUUUUUGCUACAUGGAUAACUGUGGUAAUUCUAGAGCUAAUACAUGCAUUCAAGCCCCGACUUCUGGAAGGGGUGUAUUUAUUAGAUAAAAAUCAACUUUGGUGGUGAAUCAUGAUAACUUCUCGGACCGCAUGGCCUCGUGCUGGCGGUGCUUCAUUCAAAUAUCUGCCCUAUCAACUGUCGAUGGUAGGAUAGAGGCCUACCAUGGUUGCAACGGGUAACGGGGAAUG
rnacentral:rRNA from 1 species